rnacentral:rRNA from 1 species
UAGGGAAUCUUCCGCAAUGGACGCAAGUCUGACGGAGCAACGCCGCGUGAGUGAUGAAGGUUUUCGGAUCGUAAAGCUCUGUUGCCAGGGAAGAAGAUUCAGGAGAGUAACUGCUCCUGGAGUGACGGUACCUGAGAAGAAAGCCCCGGCUAACUACGUGCCAGCAGCCGCGGUAAUACGUAGGGGGCAAGCGUUGUCCGGAAUUAUUGGGCGUAAAGCGCGCGCAGGCGGUCAUUUAAGUCUGAUGUUUAAUCCCGGGGCUCAACCCCGGGUCGCAUUGGAAACUGGGUGACUUGAGUACAGAAGAGGAGAGUGGAAUUCCACGUGUAGCGGUGAAAUGCGUAGAUAUGUGGAGGAACACCAGUGGCGAAGGCGACUCUCUGGGCUGUAACUGACGCUGAGGCGCGAAAGCGUGGGGAGCAAACAGGAUUAGAUACCCCCGUAGUCC